rnacentral:lncRNA from 1 species
ACCAAGUUGUUUUCGAUGAUACGGUUUCCAAAUCGACGAUCGGCUCCAUUAGACUUGAUCUACACUAUUAAAAGUAUUUAGAAACUAAAUUUCAUAAUUUUUCGAUAUCAUUUACCUAUCAAACAAGUAGUCUAAAAUUGAACGGCUGAAAAUAAAAAUCUCGUAAAAAAUGAUAAUAAAAUAUUUAAAUUCAAGAUCAGAUAUACUGAUCUUACACUAAAUAGUGAAAAGAAUUUUUUAUAAAAUUUUCAUCGCAUUUGGAUUGUUUUACACCGUUAAACUCACAAACACACCACAUCGGCCAUUAAAAUUGUCAAUUUCGAGAUCUUUUGAUCACUAGUCAAAUGAUGUCGAAAAAAUCUGAAAUUUAGUUUCCAAAUACUUCCAAUAGUAUAGAUCAAGUCUAACGGAACCGAUCGUCGAUUUGGAAGCCGCAUCAUCAAAAACAACUUGGUAGCAUGGUGCCCUCCAUGCUACCGAUAGUAUAGUAGCCGGACUCUCUCUCUCUCUCUCUCUCUCUCUCUCUCUCUCUCUCUCUCUCUAUAUAUAUAUAUAUAUAUUUAUAUAUAUAUAUAUAUAUGAGUCCGGCUACUAUACUUUUAUGAGUAUAAGGCCUCUUAUACUCCUAAGUUUUUGGCCGUUUGAUCUACCUUUUAAUCAUUUUCACCCGUUAGAUUAUACUAUUCAACCAACCACCCACUCAACCCUUGGGGGCCCACUAUCAACCUAACUGUAACCACUCUCAUUCUAACCGCACAUUUUUUAUCUGAACGGUCAAAAAGUUAUAAGUAUAAAAGGCUCUAUUCUCAUAUGAGUAUAGUAGCCACAGCCUAUAUAUAUAUAUAUACAAUUUUUUGUUAUUACUCUAUUUGAGUUUGUGAGAGUCUAGCGUUUGGUUCGGGUAUAAGUAAGAACUAGCUAUUAUAAAGAUAGGUACAAGUAUGGGGAUAAGAAAAAUAGCGUUUGGAUGAAAAUUGGGUUGUUCCCGGGGAUAAGAAAAAUAGCGUUUGGAUAGAUAAUAUGGAAUAAGAAAAAUAGUUUGUAGUUAUAUAUAGAAAAAUGGAGGUGUUGGUGGGAAUAGUUAUACCAGGUUAUUUUAGGUACCCGAGAACUACUAUUUUUGAAUAAAAAAAUUUACGUUUGGGUAUAAAGGGAGGGAUAGGAGGUUAUCCCU